AGUGAACGCUGGCGGCGUGCUUAACACAUGCAAGUCGAACGAGAACGGAUUAUAGCUUGCUAUGAUUGUCAGCUAAGUGGCGCACGGGUGAGUAAUGUAUAGGUAAUAUGCCUCUUACUAAGGGAUAACAAAUGGAAACGUUUGCUAAUACCUUAUACUCCUUAUUAACAGAAGUUAAUAAGGGAAAGAUUUAUUGGUAAGAGAUUAGCCUGUAUUGUAUCAGUUAGUUGGUGGGGUAAUGGCUUACCAAGACUAUGACACAUAACUGGUUUGAGAGGAUGAUCAGUCACACUGGAACUGAGUCACGGUCCAGACUCCUACGGGAGGCAGCAGUGGGGAAUAUUGCACAAUGGACGAAAGUCUGAUGCAGCAACGCCGCGUGGAGGAUGACACAUUUCGGUGCGUAAACUCCUUUUAUAUGAGAAGAUAAUGACGGUAUUAUAUGAAUAAGCACCGGCUAACUCCGUGCCAGCCGCCGCGGUAA
rnacentral:rRNA from 1 species